rnacentral:rRNA from 1 species
AGAGUUUGAUCAUGGCUCAGGAUGAACGCUAGCGGCACGCUUCAUACAUGCAAGUCGAGGGGCAGCAUAAAGUACUUGUACUUUGAUGGCGACCGGCGAACGGGUGCGUAACGCGUAUGCAACUUACCUUUUACUAGAGAAUGGCCAAGAGAAAUUUUGAUUAAUGCUCUAUACACUUAUUAAUUCUCAUGAAUCUAUAAGAAAAGCUCCGGUGGUAAAAGAUGGGCAUGCGUCCUAUUAGCUUGUAGGUGAGGUAACGGCUCACCUAAGCUCCGAUAGGUAGGGGUCCUGAGAGGGAGAUCCCCCACACUGGUACUGAGACACGGACCAGACUUCUACGGAAGGCAGCAGUAAGGAAUAUUGGACAAUGGAGGCAACUCUGAUCCAGCGAUGCCGCGUGAAGGAAGACGGCCCUAUGGGUUGUAAACUUCUUUUAUACAGGAAGAAACCUUUCCACGUGUGGAAAGCUGACGGUACUGUAAGAAUAAGGAUCGGCUAACUCCGUGCCAGCAGCCGCGGUAAUACGGAGGAUCCAAGCGUUAUCCGGAAUUAUUGGGUUUAAAGGGUCCGCAGGCUGUUUGUUAAGUCAGGGGUGAAAUCCUACCGCUCAACGGUAGAACUGCCUUUGAUACUGGCAAACUUGAGUUAUUGUGAAGUAGUUAGAAUGUGUAGUGUAGCGGUGAAAUGCAUAGAUAUUACACAGAAUACCGAUUG